GAGUCAUAGUUCAGUUGGUAGAGCAUUUGCGCCGUCAUCGCAAAUGUCAUGGGUUUGGAUCCUGCUGAAAGCU
rnacentral:tRNA from 1 species